GACGAAGGAGGCAAGCGCGAGCCGGAUUCAUUGGGUUUAAAGGGCUCGUAGGCGGCCAACUAAGUCAGACGUGAAAUCCCUCAGCUUAACUGGGGAACUGCGUCUGAUACUGGAUGGCUUGGAUCCGGGAGAGGGAUGCGGAAUUCCAGGUGUAGCGGUGAAAUGCGUAGAUAUCUGGAGGAACACCGGGGGCGAAGGCGGCAUCCUGGACCGGUAUUGACGCUGAGGAGCGAAAGCCAGGGGAGCAAACGGG
rnacentral:rRNA from 1 species